GAUGAACUGAGGGUAGCGGAGAAAUUCCAAUCGAACCUGGAGAUAGCUGGUUCUCUCCGAAAUAGCUUUAGGGCUAGCCUCAAGUGAUGAUUAUUGGAGGUAGAGCACUGUUUGGACGAGGGGCCCCUCUCGGGUUACCGAAUUCAGACAAACUCCGAAUGCCAAUUAAUUUAACUUGGGAGUCAGAACAUGGGUGAUAAGGUCCGUGUUCGAAAGGGAAACAGCCCAGACCACCAGCUAAGGUCCCAAAAUAUAUGUUAAGUGGAAAAGGAUGUGGCGUUGCCCAGACAACUAGGAUGUUGGCUUAGAAGCAGCCAUCAUUUAAAGAGUGCGUAAUAGCUCACUAGUCGAGUGACACUGCGCCGAAAAUGUACCGGGGCUAAACAUAUUACCGAAGCUGUGGAUUGUCCUUUGGACAAUGGUAGGAGAGCGUUCUAAGGGCGUUGAAGCAUGAUCGUAAGGACAUGUGGAGCGCUUAGAAGUGAGAAUGCCGGUGUGAGUAGCGAAAGACGGGUGAGAAUCCCGUCCACCGAUUGACUAAGGUUUCCAGAGGAAGGCUCGUCCGCUCUGGGUUAGUCGGGUCCUAAGCUGAGGCCGACAGGCGUAGGCGAUGGAUAACAGGUUGAUAUUCCUGUACCACCUAUA
rnacentral:rRNA from 1 species